rnacentral:rRNA from 1 species
GAUGAACGCUGGCGGCGUGCCUAACACAUGCAAGUCGAACGGAGUCGUUUUGGAAAUCUCUUCGGAGAUGGAAUUCUCGACUUAGUGGCGGACGGGUGAGUAACGCGUGAGCAAUCUGCCUUUAAGAGGGGGAUAACAGUCGGAAACGGCUGCUAAUACCGCAUAAAGCAUUAAAUUCGCAUGUUUUUGAUGCCAAAGGAGCAAUCCGCUUUUAGAUGAGCUCGCGUCUGAUUAGCUAGUUGGCGGGGUAACGGCCCACCAAGGCGACGAUCAGUAGCCGGACUGAGAGGUUGAACGGCCACAUUGGGACUGAGACACGGCCCAGACUCCUACGGGAGGCAGCAGUGGGGAAUAUUGCGCAAUGGGGGAAACCCUGACGCAGCAACGCCGCGUGAUUGAAGAAGGCCUUCGGGUUGUAAAGAUCUUUAAUCAGGGACGAAACAAGUGACGGUACCUGAAGAAUAAGCUCCGGCUAACUACGUG